AAAUUUAGGAUACACACUUUCAAACCGAUGGCCUUCAAAGCCUUAGACAAGAGCACCGCCCUCUUAAUUUCU
rnacentral:tRNA from 1 species